CAGCAGUCGCGAAAACUUUGCAAUAAGCGAAAGCUUGACAGGGCUAUCCCGAGUGCCAUCCGCUGAGGAAGGCUUUUACCCAGUCUAGAACGCUGGGGGAAUAAGGAGAGGGCAAGUCUGGUGUCAGCCGCCGCGGUAAUACCAGCUCUCCGAGUGGUGUGGAUGUUUAUUGGGCCUAAAGCAUCCGUAGCUGGCUAGGUCAGUCCCUUGUUAAAUCCACCGAAUUAAUCGUUGGAUUGCGGGGGAUACUGCUUGGCUAGGGGACGAGAGAGGCAGACGGUAUUUUCGGGGUAGGGGUGAAAUCCUAUAAUCCCGGGAAGACCACCAGUGGCGAAGGCUGUCUGCUAGAACGCGCCC
rnacentral:rRNA from 1 species